AUACGGAGGGUGCAAGCGUUAUCCGGAAUCAUUGGGUUUAAAGGGUCCGUAGGCGGGCGAUUAAGUCAGAGGUGAAAUCCCACAGCUCAACUGUGGAACUGCCUUUGAUACUGGUUGUCUUGAGUUAUAGUGAAGUAGAUAGAAUGUGUAGUGUAGCGGUGAAAUGCAUAGAUAUUACACAGAAUACCGAUUGCGAAGGCAGUCUACUAACUAUUGACUGACGCUAAUGGACGAAAGCGUGGGGAGCGAACAGGAUUAGAAACCAGGGUAGUCC
rnacentral:rRNA from 1 species